UCUAGAACGCAACCUGCUGAGCAGGUUAGCCGUGUAGUGUACAUUACUAUGGAGAAGAACACCGCUAAAAGCAGACCAACUUUCAUGGUACCUAAAAACCUUGGGUUGAGGUAAACUAAUCUAAACUUACCUGUCUAGUCAACGAAACCGGCUUCAUGGUACAGGCAUCUGCAGGACAAUUCAGCGAAAUUUGAGCACUCCUAGUGACAUUGAACCCCUUGACGAGGAGGAGGAGGAGGAAGAGGAGGACCAUUGGUUUCCUAAUCCAAACACAGAGGAAGAAGCUCCGUUAAUGGAGAGCAGAGCAAAAGAGGCGAGAGUGGUUUUAUACAGGCAUCGUGAGUGUUUGCUGCAUGGUGACUCAGUGACCUACUUGAUAAUUAUUUCUGUUCUUAUUGUUUUGUUUUUUUUUCUCUUUUGUGUCAAAACAAAGAUCGAACCAGAGUUUUGGGGCACUGCAUGACCAAGAUUAUCUGGAAAUGUCACCUUCAACGGAAGAGCAGCUGAGUGCAGCACAGAAGGAAAUUGCUCGUAUGACAGAAGAAAAUUAAAAUUUAAGAAGUCAGAAGUUUUGUCUCCAGUGCUUCCAAUGUGAGCCCAAGCUGAUCAUGUUUUACACAGGAUUUAAAGAUAAUGACACCCUCAAAACACUCUACCCAUCUCUUCAACCUACAGCAGAGUCUUUGAUGAGAUGGACUUAGAUGCAAAGACUAAGUAAAACAGAACAGAUGGUAACAGCUAGCUUCCAUGCUCAAGACAAUUGCCUCUUUGACCAAGAAAUUGCACACACACAAGAGAUUGCUUGCUUGAGUAUAUACAUGGAGAGAGCAAUCAGACGGAUCAAAGAGUAUCACAUUUUUGAUGGUUUCCUACCCUUUUCAUUAUGUAGUACCGUCAAACAUGUGGACUGACAGCAGUCUCCUUGACAAUGAUGAUUUCAAGCUUGAUUACACUUCCAAAAGCACCAUCUAGUGCUCUGCAUAUGUGUCAAGUACUGGAAAUUGUAAUCGUGCUUGAAAUCAUCAAUGUCAAGGAGACUGCUGUCAAGAUGUACAGUAAAAUAAGAGUUACAUUCUGUUCUGUUCUCACCCAAAACCACCUGGAUCACUUCAGAUUACAUUGAUUAACCAAUUGUAGUCUUAUGGAUUACUUUGAUGCUGCCUUUAUCUGCUUUUUGGAGCUUCAAAAUUCUGGACACCAUUCACUUGAAUUUUAUGGACCUACAGAGCUGAAAUAUUAUAAUAAAAAUCUUCCUUUGUGCUCUGCAGAAGAAAGAAAGUCAUACACAUCUUAAAUGGUAUGGUAGUGAGUAAAUGAUGUCAGAAUUUUCAUUUUUCAAUUAACUAUCCUUUGAACAAGACUGUCAAUAGUUUCUUAGAAUAUUUUUAUUACAAAAGGCAUAUGUCACAUAUGUGACAUAUGCCUUGUAUGUGGAUAGACAAUGUACACAGAAAUGCAUUUCUAAAUAAAACAAUAUUUUUGUACCCAUUUUCAUUCAUUGCUAUUAAUGUUAACUGUAAAAAAUUGUUAUAGAAUAUACACCAAUCAGCAACAACAUUAAAACCACCUGCCUAAUAUUGUGUAGGUCCCCCUCGUGCUGGCAAAACAGAGCCAACCCGCAUCUCAGAAUGGCAUUCUGAGAUGCUAUUCUUCUCACAACAAUUGUACAGAGCGGUUAUCUGAGUUACCGUAGACUUUGUCAGUUCGAACCAAUCUGGCUAUUCUCUGUUGACCUCUCUCAUCAACAAGGCAUUUACAUCCACAGAAUUGCUGCUCACUGGAUGUUUUUUUGUUUUCGGCAUCAUUCUGAGUAAAUUCUAGAGACUGUUGUGUGUGAAAA